rnacentral:rRNA from 1 species
UACGAAUGGGGCUAGCGUUGUUCGGAUUUACUGGGCGUAAAGCGCACGUAGGCGGAUCGUUAAGUCGGGGGUGAAAUCCUGGAGCUCAACUCCAGAACUGCCUUCGAUACUGGCGAUCUCGAGUCCGGAAGAGGUGAGUGGAACUCCUAGUGUAGAGGUGGAAUUCGUAGAUAUUAGGAAGAACACCAGUGGCGAAGGCGACUCACUGGUCCGGUACUGACGCUGAGGUGCGAAAGCGUGGGGAGCAAACAGG